UUUUGGAAGUAAAAAUCGUAACAAGGUUUCCGUAGGUGAACCUGCGGAAGGAUCAUUAUCAUACAACUGAGGUGUAACGGCUGUCGCUGAUCUUUAGAGGUCGUGCACGCCCAAGCACUCUCACAAAAUCCAUCUCACCACCUUUUGUGCAUCCACCGCGUGGGCCCCCCUUUUGCAAAGGAGGGUUUGCGUUUUCACAUAAAACUUGUUACAGUGUAGAAUGUUUUUUUUUCUUUUGCGGUUACACGCAAUCAAUACAACUUUCAACAACGGAUCUCUUGGCUCUCGCAUCGAUGAAGAACGCAGCGAAAUGCGAUACGUAAUGUGAAUUGCAGAAUUCAGUGAAUCAUCGAAUCUUUGAACGCACCUUGCGCCCCUUGGCAUUCCGAGGGGCACACCCGUUUGAGUGUCGUGAAAAUCAUCAAAAAGCCCUUUUGGUGGGGUUUUUUUGGACUUGGAGGUUUCAUUGCUUGCUUUUGCUUUUUUAAAGUAAGCUCCUCUCAAAUAAAUUAGUGGGGGUCUGCUUUGCUGGUCCUUAAUGUGAUAAGAUGUUUCUACAUUUUGGAUUUGGCACUGUCACUUGGAUGCCUGCUUCUAACUGUCCCUUGGACAAUGAUGGUGCUCCUGGUCGUCGUCAUUUACAUUGGCGGGAGGCUGGACCCACAAAAGGAACCUUGACCUCAAAUCGGGUGAGACUACCCGCUGAACUUAAGCAUAUCAAUAAGCCGGAAGGAAA
rnacentral:sRNA from 1 species